rnacentral:rRNA from 1 species
AGAAUCAACGCUGGCGGCGUGCCUAACACAUGCAAGUCGAACGAGAAAGGGGAGCAAUCCCUGAGUAAAGUGGCGCACGGGUGAGUAACACGUGACUAACCUACCCUGGAGUGGGGGAUAACUGAGGGAAACCUUAGCUAAUACCGCAUAAUACCCACGGGUCAAAGGAGCAAUUCGCUUUGGGAGGGGUCGCGGCCGAUUAGUUAGUUGGCGGGGUAAUGGCCCACCAAGACGAUGAUCGGUAU